AGUGGCAAAUUUUUUCAGAACUCUAUAGAGUUAAUGUCGAAAUCAAAGUUAUUUUGGUUAAUUUUUUUACCUUUAGCUUUGUCACCAUCUGCUAUGGUUGUCCAAUCAACUCAGCCUUCCACUGAUAACAUCCAUUUUGUUUUUAGUUCCAUCU